rnacentral:rRNA from 2 species
UGGGGAAUUUUGGACAAUGGGCGCAAGCCUGAUCCAGCAAUGCCGCGUGUGUGAAGAAGGCCUUCGGGUUGUAAAGCACUUUUGGCGGGAGCGAAACGGCGUUUGCUAAUACCAGACGCUAAUGACGGUACCCGCAGAAUAAGCACCGGCUAACUACGUGCCAGCAGCCGCGGUAAGACGUAGGGUGCGAGCGUUAAUCGGAAUUACUGGGCGUAAAGCGUGCGCAGGCGGCUUUGUAAGACAGGUGUGAAAUCCCCGGGCUUAACCUGGGAACUGCACUUGUGACUGCAAGGCUAGAGUGUGUCAGAGGGAGGUGGAAUUCCGCGUGUAGCAGUGAAAUGCGUAGAUAUGCGGAGGAACACCGAUGGCGAAGGCAGCCUCCUGGGAUAACACUGACGCUCAUGCACGAAAGCGUGGGGAGCAAACAGG